rnacentral:rRNA from 1 species
GAUGAACGCUGGCGGCAUGCCUAACACAUGCAAGUCGAGCGGACAGAGGUGGUUCCAGCGGCGGUCGGGUGAGUGACGGGUAAGUACCUGCCAUGGGGAUGGCAACAACAGCUGGAUACGGUUGCUAAGAGCCCGCAGACUGAGGAGCAGAAGAUAGAAUGAACCCGAGGAGUCGCUCGGGUCCGAUGAGCUAGUUGGUCAGGCAAGAGCUUACCAAGUCGAUGAUGAGUAGCCGACCCGAGAGGACGAUCCGCCACACUGGAACUGAGACAAGGGCCAGACUGCUACGGGAGGCAGCAGUAGGCAAUAUUGGGCAAAGGGCGUAAGCAUUAUUCAGCAAUGCGGGGUGGGUGAAGAAGGCCUUCGGAUGUGAAAGCACUAUGACCAGGGAUGAAGAACUGUGUUUCCAGGCGUAGAAGCAUUGACGGUACCUGGAGAAUAAGCAACGGCUAACUCCGUG